rnacentral:rRNA from 1 species
GGUGAACGCUGGCGGCGUGCCUAAUACAUGCAAGUCGAGCGAACAGACGAGGAGCUUGCUCCUCUGACGUUAGCGGCGGACGGGUGAGUAACACGUGGAUAACCUACCUAUAAUACUGGGAUAACUUCGGGAAACCGGAGCUACUACCGGAUAAUAUAUUGAACCGCAUGGUUCAAUAGUGAAAGACGGUUUUGCUGUCACUUAUAGAUGGAUCCGCGCCGCAUUAGCUAGUUGGUAAGGUACCGGCUUACCAAGGCAACGAUGCGUAGCCGACCUGAGAGGGUGAUCGGCCACACUGGAACUGAGACACGGUCCAGACUCCUACGGGAGGCAGCAGUAGGGAAUCUUCCGCAAAGGGCGAAAGCCUGACGGAGCAACGCCGCGUGAGUGAUGAAGGUCUUCGGAUCGUAAAACUCUGUUAUUAGGGAAGAACAAAUGUGUAAGUAACUAUGCACGUCUUGACGGUACCUAAUCAGAAAGCCACGGCUAACUACGUG